rnacentral:rRNA from 1 species
AGUGAACGCUGGCGGUAGGCCUAACACAUGCAAGUCGAACGGCAGCACAGGAGAGCUUGCUCUCUGGGUGGCGAGUGGCGGACGGGUGAGGAAUACAUCGGAAUCUACCUUUUCGUGGGGGAUAACGUAGGGAAACUUACGCUAAUACCGCAUACGACCUACGGGUGAAAGUGGGGGACCGCAAGGCCUCACGCGAUUAGAUGAGCCGAUGUCCGAUUAGCUAGUUGGCGGGGUAAUGGCCCACCAAGGCGACGAUCGGUAGCUGGUCUGAGAGGAUGAUCAGCCACACUGGAACUGAGACACGGUCCAGACUCCUACGGGAGGCAGCAGGGGGGAAUAUUGGACGAUGGGCGCAAGCCUGAUCCAGCCAUACCGCGUAGGUGAAGAAGGCCUUCGGGUUGUAAAGCCCUUUUGUUGGGAAAGAAAUCCUGUCGAUUAAUACUCGGUGGGGAUGACGGUACCCAAAGAAUAAGCACCGGCUAACUUCGUGCCAGCCGCCGCCGUAACAC